rnacentral:rRNA from 1 species
UACGUAGGGACCAAGCGUUGUUCGGAUUUACUGGGCGUAAAGGGCGCGUAGGCGGCAUAUUAAGUCAGCUGUGAAAUCUCCGAGCUUAACUCGGAACUGUCAGCUGAUACUGAUGUGCUAGAGUGCAGAAGGGGCAAUCGGAAUUCUUGGUGUAGCGGUGAAAUGCGUAGAUAUCAAGAGGAACACCUGAGGUGAAGACGAGUCCCUGGACAACUCCUGACACUGAGGCACGAAAGCUAGGGGAGCAAACAGG